UACGUAGGGGGCAAGCGUUAUCCGGAUUUACUGGGUGUAAAGGGAGCGUAGACGGUAAAGCAAGUCUGAAGUGAAAGCCCGCGGCUCAACUGCGGGACUGCUUUGGAAACUGUUUAACUGGAGUGCUGGAGAGGUAAGCGGAAUUCCUAGUGUAGCGGUGAAAUGCGUAGAUAUUAGGAGGAACACCAGUGGCGAAGGCGGCUUACUGGACAGUAACUGACGUUGAGGCUCGAAAGCGUGGGGAGCAAACAGG
rnacentral:rRNA from 1 species